CACCAGCAUGAACCUGAAAAUCCCUGUGCGGGUUCAAGGUAUCCUGCCAUGGCGAACUACUAUUGCAUACAUUCAGGAAUUGCAACCAUCGCCUGAUAUCUGCCUUCACCUCACUUGGUAGGCGUACACAAAGGUAAGGGGACCUCAGGCCGCAGGCAGCCUGGCCUAGCGGGAAUGGAAGGGGUGGCCUGGGGCAACCACUCUGCAUGCAAGAUUAAUUAAGUGACCCAGCAAGAUCGGAUCUGAUGAAGCAUCACUUGCUACAGAGGAAGUAUUACAAAAUAACUUCCUUCAAGGCAGACAGCUUCUCCAUAGGCAAGUGGUGUGUUUUAGCAACGAUAUCCAACUGGAUCCCUAAAUAAAAUGGGAAUAUGGGCAAAAAGUAUUGAGCUAUUGCUUGCCAGCUUCCAGCCCCCGCUUGGGCAGGGGGCAUCUUGUGCUGCCAUCAUGAUAUGUAAAUUUACAGGGCCGACGCUGGCCAGAACCCCCAAAGAAGUCCCGACAAAGCUGCCGCCGAGCCAGCUUCCUUUUCAGACACACAGUCUGUGCAAUGCAAAAACACACUCCGUGCAGUGCACACAUACUCCAUGCAAUGCAACUACACUCCUUGCAAUGCAACUACACACUCCGUGCAAUGCACACACAAACCCUCCAUGCAAUGCAACUACACCCUCCGUUCAAUGCAACUACACACUCCGUGCACUGCACACACCCUCCGUUCAAUGCAACUACACACUCCGUUCAAUGCACACACACUCUGUGCAAUGCAACUACACCUUCCGUGCAAUGCACACACACUCCGUGCAAUGCAACUACACACUCCGUGCAAUGCACACACACACACACACACACUCUGUGCAAUGCACCACACCUUCCGUACAAUGCAACAACACACUUCGUGCAAUGCAACAACACACUCCGUGAAAUGCAACUACACCCUCUGUGCAAUGCACUUACACCCUCCGUGCAAUGCACACACCCUCCGUGCAAUGCAACUGCAAAUCUCUCACACAAUGCAAUGCAAUGCAAUGCAAUUGCAGCCCGUGCAGCGCCGUGCCCUGCAACGCACAGAGCAAACUGCAAUGCGGGCACGCAAAGGUGCUUUCUCCCGCUUGCAUAUUGCAAACAUGGUGCCCGUUACUUCCCUCACAGUGAGGGAACCACCAAAAGGACCUAAGUGUCCAGGUAGAGCAAUGGGGGAGCAUGCAGCUGUCCCAUACAGGGACCAAUCCUGCAACCUAGGCAUUACCGGCACUAUGCGCUGACCCAGUGAAACCAAUGCUUCAUGCACCACAUGGGGACACUAUUCAGGCCGGAAAUGCUUCCAGGCCAUCGAAUUCUAGGGCAAAGCCCUAGGAUCACCUGCUAGGCCAGGCAUAAAUGUUUCCAGUGAAAUAGCAGAGUUGAGGUGGCCCACAGCUUGUCCAGGUACCCCUGCUUGCCCUUUUAGAGGGAAGCACCCCUUCAAGAAACCCAAAGUUCUUUUAUCACAAAUGGGCCAAACUACCCAGCAACAGAAUAGCCAAAAAGGAGCAGUUUGUUUUGUUUUGUUAUAACAAUGGCUAAGAGGGGGAUAUGAACCCUGUGUCCCAGGACCUAGUCCUGCACUCUAGCCACUAAGCCACACUGGCUCAUCUCUAAAAUGGCAGUCACCACUAUCAGGGCAAAACAAACCUGAAGAAAAUAAACUUGUUCAGAAACAACAUAGCUCAAGAGAAUACACAGAGUGCUCAUAGUCACUGGAGGCACAGAAAGCCUCUGGCGCCCUCUGUCUGCCUCAGAUAUACAUUAGCAGCAACUGGGCCUGCAAGCAAAAGAUACUUUCUCAGAGAGAGAAUGAGUCACAUGUCACAGAGACUUCACAAUUAAGUGCUACCUGUAGCAGACUUAGGCUUGGAAGUUAUGUGCAGGCCGAAUAGGCCUCCCUGCUUCUGCUCUUGAGAAUCUUAGUCUCAUAGCAAUAUUAAAGGAACUCAAAUUAGUGCUCCCGCCCAAAGCUAGAUUAAAAUUUGGCCAACAGCGCUGCGCACACCCAAAAUAAAGCCAACCUUCGGGGAUACUAUAAACGAAAGUGACUCCCGCUAAGCUGGGAACAGCCCUGAUUAGCCCCACAAUUUCAACAGGAGAAAUGGGGGAAACCUUUUUGCGAAAGAAAGCCCCUAACGGGGGCUCUCUCCCUAUUGGGAAAGGCAAGCCACAGAUACAGGGAGAAUCUUCCCACAGGGCAGGGUAAGGGGUGGGGUGGGAAAUCGAACAGGAAAAGGGGGGAAUUAAAUUAUUUAAGGGACUAGAGAGGAUGAAAAGAAAGGGGAAAUAAAGAAAUAAAGAAAUGUAACCAGACAAUGAGAAGAUUGUCCAAGUGCUCCAUGUGAUCCGAUGCAAAAUGGCCAAGAGGACGCCCAACGUUGGGCUUCCUGUAUUUAAAGACUCUGACCCCUCCUCCAAAUUGGCAACAAUCAAAACGCCCCAGCAACCCAAUUUAACCACUUAAAGGCUUGGGUUCCUCCCAAAAUCUGCCCAGUAACGGCAGGGGGGCUUGUUCCCCCAACCGCAACACGUGCUCUCUGUUAUGGAGAACACGCUAUGUGAAACAGAAAAGGGGUGAAGCAGCAAGGCUGUGCUUGCUGGGUCUUUUUCACACAAUCACCCAAGCCCUGCUCAGGCAUUUGUUUCUUGUAUCCAUGGAGAGGUCACAAGGCAGGCUGAGAAGACUUCAGGCUUACAGGACCUCCCUUGCUUUGUUAGUAGAACCUCAAGGUUCACCAGCUGAAACCAGGUGCAAAACCAGGAGAGUAGAUUAUGAAAGAGCCAUUUGUUUUCAGGAUCAUAAUUGAGCUCUUAGUUCUUCACACAUAAAAAUCAGCUCCCAAUUCCCCCCAGCUCACAGCUCUCUUAAUUUCAGCAGCCUAAUUGAGAAGGGUGAAAGGCCUUUUUGUUGCUUCUGUUAAACAAUUGGGGAGACAGAAACCCUUGCAGAUCUUCAGCAAAUCACCCAGAAUUUUACCAGUUGAUGCUGAUCUGUCUUCUGAAAACUGCUCAGGGGCUGAUACUGUGGCCACUGAAGUGCUAUUUAGGAACAUAAGAAGCUGCCUUAUAGCAGACCAGACCACCCAGCCUGAACCAGGGUUUGAACCCUGAGAUGCACAGCAGAUGCCCUGCUUCUGAGCAAUGGACCUUCCUCUUGGCUAGUUGUUCCUGGUGCUCUUGCUGCCUCCUCCCACUCCCAGCUGACAUUCCUGCAUUGGGCAGGCUGGAGGAGGAUUACAAGCCCAGGUGACCAAACGCAGUUACAGUCCUACCUGCAAACAGGAAGCUUGACCAGAUAAGAAGGGCCUGAACAGAGCUGUCAUGGCCACAGUAUCAGAUCAUGAUGUGCAAAUCAGCGCCACCACAGUCGGGUGCCACAGCUGGAAUGCUCCUGUCAUGCCAAUGGCAUGAGCUGCGAUGCUGCUCCCACACUGAGAGGGGCCUUCUGAUAGAUCUGUUGCCCUGGAUCACACCAGUCAGAAGCACAGAUGGUAUGGACAUCCAAACUUUAAAAUUCCCUCUAGGAAAAAUGCCCCUUAACAGGCUGUGAGCAUUUUGCAGUGGAAGUGUGUUGUGCCCUGUAUUUGUUUAGUUAUUUCAUAAUUUAUAAACCGCUCUACAUUCAAAGAAUAUUAAAGCGGUGUGCAGAAACGGAAUGUAAAACAUAAUGCAGAACAGAAACAGUAUUAAGACAUAGAAACCAGCAAGAAUGAAAAAACUGCAAAAAUGAUUUGGAGGGAGUAGCUAGCACUGCCACCAGAUAUAUACAAGCAGGCAGUGGCCACUAUAAGCCUCUUAUUUUGAAUCCAAGUUCUCCGAAUGACUUUUGGCUCAGCUCUAAGUCUACCUUCCACCUGCAUCCUAAAGCAGUAAAGACUAGCAACAGAUAUAUCCCAUGGGGCCACAUCAUGACACCCCUCGAGUGCAAAGGAUCAAAUGAGUAGUCAAGUGAAGAAACACACACUGGGCUUCUUUGUACAUAUGCCUGGUUAAAUCAUUGACACACACACACAAGCACACACUGCCCAUUCUGUAGCUCUCCAGAGUCUCCAGUUGAAUUUUCCACAGAAUCUGCUAUCCUGUAACUGGUUACCUAGCAAUUGAAGCUGGGACCUGCUUCAUGCCAAUCAUGAGCUCUACCCCUGAGCCUAUGACUCGACCCCAGAGAAUGAUAGUUCCAGCACUGGCCAAGCAUGGAGGUGGAGAGGAGCAGUCACAGACUCCGUCACCUUGUCUCUCUGAAUGGGAAAUGGCCUUCGAAUUGCAAUAUGGCUGCUGGCCAACACCCCACCAUUGUCCGAUGGCAUGGCAGAGCCCCAGACAUAUGGGUGAUCAAACACAAGGUUGAUAGGAUUAAGAGCAAACUUCAAAUAUAGUUAUGGAUGUGAUGUACAGAUAGGCUAUAAUCUUUAACACAGUUAACAGGGCGUGAGGUCCCAUUGAACUUUAGAGGUAUGAUUACAAAUCGUAUAAUGUAAUCAUAGAUGUGCAAUGCCCUAGGUUCAGUCCUUGGCAUCUUCAGGGAAAACAGUGCCAGGCAGCAAGGCAAGGAAGUGCCAUCUUAUUUGGUUUAGGAAACGUGGAUUAUUUUCUGCAGUUGCAACUCUGAGCACACUUACAAGUCAGUCCCAUUUAGGCGUUCUGCUAUUGCAGGUCGCUUUUCUGAACAGGUGGGAGGUUUGAAAAUUAUUGUUCCCAGAUCCAUGUUUGUUAUUACAAACUGUGAAGGGUUUGCAAGUGGGCCAUUGCACUUUGGAUUUGAAUGAGUCAAGGGUAGUUCCCCCAAAGUUCAAAUAAAAAUGUGGGCUUCUGUCUGCAAGUCAAACUCAUGAAGUGGAGGAAAAGGAGAUCAUGGGGGAGGAGCUAGUAGUGAGCUAUGGACAUAAAGCAGGAAUAGGGAAACUCGGCCCUCCAAGUGUUUUGGAACUACAACUCCCAUCAUCCCUGACCACUGGUCCUGUUAGCUAGGAUGGUGGGAGUUGUAGUCCCAAAACAUCUGGAGGUCGGAGUUUGCCUCUGCCUGACAUAAAGCAUUGCAGACUGCUGCACUUCCCCAAGGCUGAGAAAUCAUGGAUAUUAUCUCUCCUGGCUGCUAUUUUAGAGGUGUCUUGUGGCUACUGUUGGCAAUAGGCAAAUUGAUAUAAACAAGGAUAUAUUAGAAAUGUCAAGGACAGGAAAUGCUACACAUGAAGGAAAUGUAAUUGCCUCUACCCAGCAAAGGAAUCCCACAGUUAAAAACAGGCUACUGUGCAGAAGCAGCAGGAGGAAGAUAUGAAUUGGAAUUGUUGUGUAUUCUAUGCCCAAGCGUUGGAAGUGACUGCCUGAUCAUGACUAGUACUGAAUCUGAGCCCAAAUGUGUAUAUCUCAACCCAUUGCAUUUGAUAAAUGUACUAAAUCAUUUUUAAAACAAUCUUCUCUUCAACCACUGACAACGGACCGGGCAGAGUGAGUGUAUUCCCCACUCAGUUUGCAAUGGCAGCCAAAUGGCCCUUUAAUACAAAUUAUAUAUGAUGCCCCAAGAAAUCAUCAAGAGAGGAAGCAUGAAUUACUUCUGUGUCCUUUCUCCAUUAUUCUGGGUUUCAUCCAAGUAUGCAUUUAGAUGUCACCCAGAAGUUUGAAGGGAGGAAACAUGAUUCUUUUUUGUAAGAUGUUCUAUUGCAGCAGUUGAUACCCGGCAUGCUACUCACCAGUAAGUUUUACGAAGCUCAGGGUAUCAUUUGGCCAAGAGAGUUGCAACCCAAUGGACUUAAAUACUGGUCAGCUAGAUUUAGGCCAGGUAAUAGUGAUGAGGAUUGUAUUGUUGUAUAUGUGUACAGUCAGCCAGAUACAUAUAAUACACUAUUAUCAAUGCAAGUGAAAGCUGGUUAAGUAACAGACAGCACAAGAUGUGAAUUAACAAAUUUUCAAAAAUCAAGAACUCGGCCAUCUAAUGUCAAGGAAAGGUUGGCAUUAGGUGACGGGGGGUUCAUAUUUGGUCAGGAAAUCAAGAAUGCUUUUGGCUGCUCCGCUAAAAGAGAACUUCUCUUUUAUCAAAUGUUGCUGUCAACAACAAGCAGGAGGUUAUCUCCCUUGGAAAAACAGCACUUCAAACAAGCUGCUCAGUCGCUGGUAAUGGAACCCAAUAUUUUAUUCAAACCAGCUUUCAAGCUUCUUGUUGCUUAAUGGAGGAAACACUGCUGAGGUCAACAAGUAGUUUGAUACUUGGCAAUAAUAUAUACCCUCUUGUGGCCACCUAAUUAUAUUCCCUGACAUCAGGAGGCAUUUAUCAGUGCAUUAAUUCAAAUGGUGUUUGGGCUAUCAAGAUCUGUUGAUUUUAAGUAUCAUUGACUGAAACCUGAUUAAGGUCUCAACUUUCUUGCCCCUCCAUUUUCCAGGGCUGCAGCUCCCAUCUAUCAGCCCUGACUCCCAUAUGGUACGAAGAGUCACAACAAGUGAUUAGUGAACAUCACAAGCGAACAAACACAAGCG